rnacentral:rRNA from 1 species
GCGAUCAUACCAGUACUAAUGCACCGGAUCCCAUCAGAACUCCGAAGUUAAGCGUGCUUGGGCGAGAGCAGUACUAGGAUGGGUGACCCCCUGGGAAGUCCUCGUGUUGCACCU